UACGAAGGGGGCUAGCGUUGCUCGGAAUCACUGGGCGUAAAGCGCACGUAGGUGGCUUUCUAAGUCAGGGGUGAAAUCCUGGAGCUCAACUCCAGAACUGCCUUUGAUACUGGAGAGCUUGAGUCCGGGAGAGGUGAGUGGAACUCCGAGUGUAGAGGUGAAAUUCGUAGAUAUUCGGAAGAACACCAGUGGCGAAGGCGGCUCACUGGCCCGGUACUGACGCUGAGGCGCGAAAGCGUGGGGAGCAAACAGG
rnacentral:rRNA from 1 species